UCCAAAAUACAAUGAUUUCAAUGACAAAGGAGUAUCUAAACCAGAUAAAUAAUCCAUCUCUUUCUUUUUUUAGCAUGGAGCUCAUUCAUGAAGAGACCACUGCUUGGACCUGCAGCAAGAAUGGGUGCAGGAGUCUGUACAGAUAAUUUGGUGGAGAACCUGAGACAAGGCCUUGCAUGCUGGUAGUUCACUUGUGAAGGGGACCAGGACACCGGAGUGAGGAAGCAAAGUGGAACCAGGAGGGGCAGAAAGCCACCACAGGUGUCCAUCCCCUUGCUGGUUAGAAAUGGUGACAAUAGAACAGCUGAAGAAGUCCGAAGGUGAGGACGACAGACCUGCCCUUUCAGCCUGGCCCCUCCAUGACUUGACUGAGCAGAGCCUGAUGAAUGACCUGGGGCUGCUAAAUGGCAAAGAAAUAAACUUCUGUACUGAUGAUAUGAGUUUACCUGUCAAACCCUUCAAGAAUUUUUGUCUACGUGAGCUGAGUGUAUAUACCAAAUAAGCGUGACCUUUGACACCACCAAAGGAAAUUUCCCGAGUGAUGCUCUUCAUUUGUGCUGCUGGAUGAGUCUGUCUUCACUUUCAACUCCCUUCAGGAUCUGACAUGGGGCUACCGCUGAAGGCUGUGGGAUAUGGAGGACCUGAUUGUAAGAGCAAGAAGUCAUCUCUGUAAAUUCAUACCAGCCUGGCUCCUUCUUGACUACAAAUUGGUCCUGAAGUUCACGUGGAACACACACUGGAGAAGAUGCCAUGGAGCCACUGAAAACAGAGAGUCUCAAGAGGAGGGUGAAGGCCGCCUUCCAAAGACCAUAAAGGGAUAAAAGUUUUUCACUUCUUUCUGCAGUAUUUAUGUUGCAAUUCUACUUUUUAAUGUGACUAAGGCCAUAAAUAUGUUGAUGCCAUUCCUAAAUAGUUGCAUAAUAAUCACCUAUAUAUCUGGUAACAUUGCUUUUCUUUUCUUUUAAUUUAUUUGUAUUUAGAUAGCAUUGGUUUAUAACAUUAUAUAGAUUUCAGGUGAAUGACAUAAUGAACUAAAUUCACAAAGAGAUUAAAUAUGUGCUAAAGAAAACAUUUAAAACCAUGGGAGCAAAGAUGAGCAAAUAAUGGAGUUGGGAACGAAUGGUCAGCCAUCUGAGAAAAACAUAAAGCUGACUGCCAUCUGACUCCUUACACCAAAAUGAUUUCCAGAUGGCUGAAACAUCUACAUUUUGGAAAAAAUUGAGUUUUGGAAUGGGGAAGUGCUAUGGAAACAAAACACAAAGAGAUGCCAUUAAUAAAUAAUUUCAUGAAUUAACGAUACUGAAAAUAUCUUUGGUGGGGAAAAACUGAAACAAAAUUAAAAUACAAAUGCAAAGUACAAAAAUAAAUAUUUUGUGAUUUAUUUUGCAGAAAAAAAUUGUUUUGUGUACAAAUACCUAUUACAAAUAAAUGAUAAGACCAAUAAUCAAUAGAAAAAUUUCCAAGAAAGUAAAAUAUAAAUGGCUGCAAAAAACUGGAAAGAAUCUCAACAUCUCUCAUUAAAGACAUCCAAAUUCAAACAACAAAAUAGUAGUUUUCACCUAGCACUCUGACAAAGAUCAAAAAGCUUAAUAUGCAGCAUUAUCACUAGGAUGCUCAGAAAUAGGCAUUUUCACAGUCUGAUAGAGGAAGUUUAAAUUAGUGCAAAUUUUUUGGAAAAGUUUUAGCAAUGAUUAUUAAACUGUAAAAUGCACAUACCCUUUGACUAAGAAAUUUGUUCUGCGCAUUUAUCCUACAGAUAUACUUGCAAAACAAGUACACGGAAAUAAAUAAAAAACUUUAUUUAUUGUAUAAAAAAUUUGGAAACACCUAAACAUCCAUCAGAAUAAACGGGUAAACUAACAACAGUACAUAUUUGCAAUAAAAUAUCCUACUCCCACUCUGCAUCUUGAAUGAGUAAGUAAGGAAAGAAAAGAAGGAAGAGAGGAGGGAGGGAGAUGGACUGAAAUGAAACCACACUCUCGUUAUGUCAUAAAUACGCUGAUGCAUACAAAGAACAUUUCUGGGAAUAUAUUGAAUUAUUUGUAAAAAUUAUUACUCCUAGGGAUGUAAGUUAGACAACUCAGGAUUUGAGGUGAGAGGAAAAUUUAUUUCUUCUUUUUCUAAAAAAAAUCCUAUAUAACCUCUUACAUUGUUUGAAUUUUUAUUAUGUAAAUGUUUUUUUAAAUAAAUAUAACACAGGUACCCAUUCGAUGUUGUAAGUUUUGGACAAUGGGUAAGAAAUUGACUUUGGGUGAUAAGCACAUGCAAUAUACAGAUGAUGUAUCAUAGAAUUUUAUACUUGAAACCUAUAUGAUUUUAUUAACCAAUGUCACCACAAUAAAUUCAAUUAUAAAAAUUCAUUGAACUUUAUAUGUAUCACACACAGAAUGCUGUGUGCACAUUAUACCUCAAUUAAAAGGGUAAAUGUAUUAAUAAGAAUAGUAACAAUAUCUCUGCAAAAAAUUACAAAUUAAAUUAAAUGAUGUGAUAGAUAGUAGGAGUGUGGAUCUCUUCUUUGACCAGAUUGUCUCAGAAGUAUCUUACUUUGAAUGACUCCAAGAGAACUGGGUUAUAGUUGAGGUUUAACCAAUGUGUUUUGAAGCAACUCUUAAGAAUAACAAAUAAUUUUCAUAAGGUAUCUAAUUAAUGGCCUUUCUUAAUUAUUGAUUAAUCCAUCUUGUAGAUUAGGGACCCAUUUCACCUGGUGAGAUUUGCAUGAGAACAAUCACUUUGCAGUGAGGGAUCAAGACUGACCGAAGAAGGGACAUACUGGAGUCGUGGAAACUGGUUAGGAGGUCAUUUCAAGGAUACAGGUAAAAGUCUGAGAAGGCCAGAACUAAGUUGGUGGCAGAAGAAAGAGAGAAGAGGAUUAUUACAUGAGGGUUGAAAGGGGUGUAGAAAUGGCAGGACCUCACACCUGGCUGGUUGUGGGGUAGAGGAGAGGGUUAAUCUAUAAUGACCUGGCUUAGGCAGCUGGAUGAACUGUCACGUAAAAAAAAUUUAAAAACAGUGGAACAGUGGAUUCAGUGAAGAGAAUGAAUGUACUGCCUUCUUCUUGAGCUCCAUAGCCCAUGGGAUCGGGCAUAGUCAGGAACAAACAUUUGUGCUUCAGGUAGGGUAUGGUGGUGAGAGGUUAGGAGACAAUCCUUUUCAGCAGUGACAAUUAUUGAGUCUCAAGGGAAGAGAAAAAUCUCCACAUGAAUAAUGAAUUCUGGAAGGAGAUUUGGCUAAAUUAAAAAGAUAACAUUUUGGUUUGUGCCAGGAAGAAAAUAAAGAAGACAGGCAUUGGUCCAGACCAAGAUUAAAGCACCAGAUGACCAGUGAAGGGCGGCUGGUAGAGCUGGCAAAGAGUAGCAGUCAGGAUGUCUUAGCCUGAUAAAUUACCACACCAUGGGAAAGAAAUGCACCUCACCCAGAAGCACACAAAGGGUCCUUUCUGGAGGUCCUAUGCCUCCGCAUUCCACAGAGGCUCCAUGCAACCAGGUGGAGCUGGCUGGAGCAGCAGCAAUGGAAGAAAACGGAGAUAAUCUUGGCAUCACAGCUUGUUUCUGCCACUAGCUGGUGUUAUAACCUUGGCAAGUCGUUUAAAUUUGUGUUACCUUAAUCCUCUGUGAAAAGAAAGGUAAAAUGUGAAGCAAUUGUAAUUUUGACAGCCUCUACCCCCGAGGAGAAAAUGCACCAGACUUUGAGGGGUGUGAGAAGGCUCCAUGGAGGAGGUGAUCUACGAACUAAAAUCAUUCUUCAGAUCUUAGUUCCUUUAAGUGUUAGGUUAGCUGAAGGAAGGGUAAGAAAACAAGGCAAGGGGAACAGAUCCAAGUAGCAGAAACAGUAUGAAUAAAAGCUUUAAGCCAAGAAAUAGAAUAAUACCUUCAGGAAGACUAUUAAGUAAUAGGAUGUAACUGCUAGAGCAUACACAGGUGAAAGAAAUGUACUUCUUCAGUCCCUGCAAUUGUCGUUUAAAGGAGAUAUUAAUGUUUACAUAUAAAAGAAGAAACUGAAAUUCAGAACAGUUACUUGAUUGAAAUCACAUAUCUUGUAAGUAGACAAACUAGUAGGGUCUGUGUGCUCCAAAUCCUGUUUUAACUAUUGUUUCUUAUCAAUUCCCCACAUUAACAUAUUUAGAUGGGUGAGUGGGUGUGGUAACAAUGAAAGCAUACUUUUCUCAACGUAUCUAGCAGGUUACAUUUUGAAAACCUCAACCUAAACAAACAAACAAACAAAAAUUAUAGUGAAAAACAAAUGUAAUAUGUAUGGGUUAUUAGCUAUAUAAUGUUUGAACUAGGAACAUAAGGAAGCAAAAUUUGUUUGUCAAAACAGUCAAAGAGAUCAGUGAGUCACUAACCCUUGUUACUUCUUAGUAGUUUAUGAU